AUUGAACGCUGGCGGCAUGCCUUACACAUGCAAGUCGAACGGCAGCGCGGGAGCAAUCCUGGCGGCGAGUGGCGAACGGGUGAGUAAUAUAUCGGAACGUGCCCAGUAGUGGGGGAUAGCCCGGCGAAAGCCGGAUUAAUACCGCAUACGACCUGAGGGUGAAAGGGGGGGAUCGCAAGACCUCUCGCUAUUGGAGCGGCCGAUAUCAGAUUAGGUAGUUGGCGGGGUAAAGGCCUACCAAGCCUGCGAUCUGUAGUUGGUCUGAGAGGACGACCAGCCACACUGGGACUGAGACACGGCCCAGACUCCUACGGGAGGCAGCAGUGGGGAAUUUUGGACAAUGGGCGCAAGCCUGAUCCAGCAAUGCCGCGUGCAGGAAGAAGGCCUUCGGGUUGUAAACUGCUUUUGUCAGGGAAGAAAUCCUCUAGGCUAAUACCUUGGGGGGAUGACGGUACCUGAAGAAUAAGCACCGGCUAACUACGUGCCAGCAGCCGCCGCGGUAA
rnacentral:rRNA from 1 species